GACAGAGGAGCCAAGCGUUGUCCGGAUUGACUGGGCGUAAAGCGCACGCAGGUGGUUUGGCAAGUGUGAUGUGAAAGCGACCCGCUUAACGGGCCGAGGCCAUCGCAGACUGCCUAACUCGAGCGCGAGAGAGGUCCGUGGAAUUGCCGGUGUAGUGGUGAAAUUCGUAGAUAUUGGGAAGAACACCGAUGGCGAAGGCGGCCAUCUGGACCGACACUGACGCUGAGGCGCGAAAGCGUGGGGAGCAAACAGG
rnacentral:rRNA from 1 species